GUGGGUAUGAUGUUUAAUGGCAAGCAUUUCUGCCUUCCAAGCAGACUGUGCGGGUUCAAAUCCCGCUAUCCACUCCA
rnacentral:tRNA from 1 species